AGAGAGGAUAAAGAGGCUGGGCCUCGACA
rnacentral:sRNA from 1 species